rnacentral:rRNA from 1 species
AUGAUUGUUGAUGGGGUGCCGAGACAUAUGUCUGAACUACCUCAUGUGACUGAUGAAAGAGGGCAGGUGGCCGACCCCCUUGAUAUCCAUGCCAUCAAGCUGAUUUAUUGUCUCGAGAAGUGGGCAUUGGGAGUUGUUAAUUGGCUGAACAUGUACCUUCUGGGAGUUGUUUUAUUUGAUGGUCUGGCCUGCUGCACGGCGAUCACGCGGUGGCUGAUCUGGAUCGUCGCGGGUGGGAUGAGGAGUGGAAGACUGCUGUCGCCGGUGGCUGGCCAAGUGUUGGACGUUGCCGUUCUCCGCGUCGACGGCCGCCUCUAA